GGAUCGAUGAUGAACACCACAAACGCAUUCCUUGGAAAAUCUGAACAAAAUGAGUGAGAACUCACUACCGUCUCCUCAUCGCAAACUGAGGUCC
rnacentral:snoRNA from 1 species